CCUCCUUGAGUUCAGCGGUUGGCGUCUCCUACGAUCUCCGUCUCCACCGCCACUAACCUCAUAAAAAGGGAAUUAUUCCAUUAUAAGGUAUGCCAAGAUCCAAAAGGUUCAUGGAUAAGAGUCGGCCAAUAUCUCAUCCGCAAUCUUCUUCAUCAACACACGAGCAAUUGUUGAAUGAUGCACCACUUGAAGAACAAACCCAUGAUAAUGAAACACCUCAAGAGCAAGCUCAAGAUAAUGAGACACGACAAGACCAAAAUGAUGAAGAUUUGCCAUCUUCAUCUAAAAAGAGAACCAGGACUACGUGGGAAGUUGAUGUGAUUAAUGAAGAAGGAUUUGUGAAGAAGAAAAAGUUGAAAGUUAAAGAAGUUUGGACACUCCCAUUUGGUGAAAAAAUCAUAGUCCCAUUUGACAACUUUAAUACACCAUC